rnacentral:rRNA from 1 species
CAGCAGUCAAGAAUAUUAGUCAUUGCUCGCAAGAGUGAACAAGCCAACUGGAAUCACAAGAACUUGUGAUAAAGUAAGGGAGGAUAAUGACGUUACCUUACUAUUAGUGUCGUCUAAAAUUGGUGCCAGAAGACUCGGUAAUACCAAAUACACAAACGUUAGUCAUCAUAAAUAGGCGUAAAGGGUUUGUAGGCUGCUCUUACCGGAGCUAGAAUCAAAUAGGGGUUAAUAUCAUACCUAGUGAAAGGAUUAAAUCUGUAAAUAUUAGGGGGAAUACUAGAAGCGAAGGCGAUUUUCUAUUUAAUGAUUGACGCUGAGACACGAAGGUUGGGGCAGGAAAUAGGAUUAGAUACCCUAGUACUCCCAACUGUAAACGAUGAAUGGUAGGUAUUAAUUAUGUGAAAGUUAGUACCAAUGUGAACACGUUAACCAUUCCGCCUUGUGAGUAUACUUGCAAAAGUGAAAACAAAAAAAUUAGUCGGCCCCGAAGCAAACGAAGUGAAGCAUGUUAUUUAAUUCGAUAAUCCGC